UUCAUACAUAUCCGCCUCCUAGGGUUUUAUUCUUCCAUCAUAAGUUUCUGUUCUCCAUCUCUAAAUCGGCUCUCAACUAUCUUCAACAUCAAGGUUCGGCUCCUUAAAGAUCUUCAGAUCAAGGGUUUCUUGAUCUUCAAUUGCUUUCCGGUUCUGAUAGUUAAAUGUCGUCGACACCAAGUAUGUAGCAGGAAGCGGGUUGAAGAUAACGCCAUGGUCAGAAGUCAUAAGUUACAAGAGUGGUGGCGCUGAGAGAUGGUGGAAAAGAUUUGAAUUUGGUUUCAGAAUGGAUAUAUGUGUGCACUGCUAGAGUUGUUCGAUCGAUUUAGAUAUGUACAAUUUACGUUUGAUUGUUAGUGUUUUGUUUAGAUCUAUUAUAUCAUUUGAUCUGGUAGUUUCUCUGACAAGCUUCUGGUAACACAGUUUGAUGUGUUAACCAUGCCGAAGAAUUCAAUAUAUCGCUUCUUAUUUAGUAUAUCAUGACAUCAGUCCUGUAUUUAACUUAAAAUUUAUGAAUAAUUCUCUCUGUUUGUACAGCGGAUAUUCAUCGUUACGGGACCCACAUUGCAACAGAGGUCUGGCCUUCACUAAGAAAGAGAUAGAUGCUCAUUAUUUAGGUGGUCUUCUUCUUCCGGUUGUUGUCAAUCACGAUGUUCAGAUGAAAAUGGAUUCAAAACACAUACCAUGAGGCUUGGAGCUGGUACUAUUGUUUUCUACUUGCUACUCUACACAAGGUGGAAAAAGCAAUUCGUGGACUUCCGCUUUUCAGCAAGGAUACAUUAGAACAUAUUCCUAAGAUUGUUGACAUUCUUGCAUAACUUCUGAUAGCUGACUCAUGGCCUAAGAAAGCUAUUGGAGUGUCUUACAGGCCUUUGUAUCUGUAGGGAAGCAAGAAGGGAUUAAAGGCUAUUGGAAGGGUUAAUCUAUUUCAGAAUAUGAUAGUUUUAAUACCUGAGGCUAUUGAGAUGUUCGUUGCGUGUGGAUGUGAGACGAACACCAGUGACGGUGUCGAAAUACUCACCAGUCUUCCACAUGACUUCUACAAGUAGGUACACAAGUUUUUUUAUGGUAGUUCUCAGGUAUUGACAUAUCAUCAUUUUAUUGGAAUUAAACACUAUUUAGUUGUCACUCCAUAUUUUUAAUAUUCUGAUAUUUAGUGGCAAGUUUUUGGUCAAAUAUUAAUUCCAUACUUCUAUUGUUGUGAGUCUGAAUAAGAAAGACCCGUGUGACCACAAACAAGAGGAUCACAUAGAAACCCUCCUUGAUCAGGUACAUUUUGCAAGCACAUUAUAGUUAUGGACUGUGGGCAAGAUUCAUGGGUUAGGUAACGGGUCAAACCAGGUAUGCGUUGAACGGGGUCAUCAUUAGUAUGGGCCGAAACACUCAAGUUUGACCUUUAACUAUGUUUUGUUUUCAUUUUCAUAACCAAUUAGGGCGUAAAUUGUGACUAUAAAACAAUAGUAUUGGGCUGAAUGGGUCAAACUUGAUACGUGGAACAAUUUCUAUUGUGGGCAAGAUAGGUGAAUUCCAUGUCAAAAUAAGUUUGGGUUGAAUUGGGUUACCAUGAGUAUAGGUCGAAUUGGCCAGUAUGACCCUUCAACCAUGUUUUCUUUUUAUAUUUUUAUAAAUAUAUAAGGCUUAAAUUGUGACUACAAAAACAAUAUAGUUACAAAAAUAGGGUUGCUAAAAAAACAAGCUAAAGAAGCAACUGGUUCUACAAGAAGAAGGUGGUCAGCUAAAACCGAAAAGAUUCUCCGUUUCGAUCACACCAGAGGGGAUUGAAAAAGAUCUGUUUGCCAUGAGUGGUAAAAGGCCCUCAGGUCCAACAAGAAGAGAACCAAGAAGAUGCAGAAUGAUGUUGAUAUAAAGAAAAUACUGUGUUCUCAUUCCUGGGAGUUGACUCUUUGGAGGUCAUAUGGCACGUUUUUAAACAUUAUUAGUUCAAUAAUAAUUGCUUGCUAAAACUAAAUUGAAGCUGAAAUAACAUUUUAUUUAUUAGUUCUGAUAUAGAUCCGACCAUAGUGGUUUCUGCAUUGUAGUUCCAAGUAUUUUUGCAUGAAAUUUUGGUCUGUCCUUCAUAUGACGAAAUUAAAAGAGAAUAUUGUUGUGAUUCCAUUUGACUCUUUUCACUAUUGGGUAUAUAAUAUAGAGUCUAUGCAUAUCAUCGAAAUUAGAUAUUUGAUUUCUACUUUGUCUUCAUAGCAAGUCCCUUUUAUUCUAGAAAAUUAAUUGAUUAGAUGGUAAAAAGCUAUUGUUGAGGGC
rnacentral:lncRNA from 1 species